GUCCUUGCAUAACAUUAGUUAGUACCCAUACAAUGCACCAGAUACCAGGAACCUAAACCAAUUUAAGUAUUUAGAUAGCGAUAAUUUUCCAUGAGAAAAUUGUUCGAUAGUCUUUCUUGACAAAUUGUUCUUGAAUAGUCCUUGCAUAACAUUAGUUAGUACCCAUACAAUGCACCAGAUACCAGGAACAAAAACCAAUUUAAGUAUUUACAUAGCGAUAAUUUUCCAUGAGAAAAUUGUUUGAUAGUUUUUCUUGACAAAUUGUUCUUGAAUAGUCCUUGCAUAACAUUAGUUAGUACCCAUACAAUGUGCCAGAUACCAGGAACAUAAACCAAUUUAAGUAUUUACAUAGCGAUAAUUUUCCAUGAGAAAAUUGUUCGAUAGACUUUCUAGACAAAUUGUUCUUGAAUAGUCCUCGCAUAACAUUAGUUAGUACCCAUACAAUGCACCAGAUCCCAGGAAUAUGAACGGGUGGGUGGGUGGAAAUUUUCUUUCUCGGUAACAAGACAUUGCUCUUUGUUGGUAUAUGUGUCAAAGUGAACUCCCUUAUCACAUUGACCUUUGUUCUGCGUGUUCGUUGUUGACAUAUGAUUGGUCAGUUGAUCUUUCAUUCCGUUUACACAUGCCCAGGGAAACAUUUGAACUUUGGACUAUUGGAUAUCGCCUUUUUGUGGCUGUCGACAAGCUUAUCCUGUUACUAUGAGAUUAUAACCAGGUUUGAAGGUGACAAACGUGUUGUCUCAUUAACUUGAAUUUAUAUAUUGUUAUAUAUAAAUUUGCUUUAAUGAUUCAAGCACGUUAGGUGAAAAAGAAAACAGCCGCAGAAUAAGUAAAACACACACCAAAUCAUUGUGGGAGAAUGGGUUCAGGGUGAAGUGAACCAAUUAUAUACAUUAUACUCUCAAACUCUGGUCAACCCAAAGACUCAUUAAGCCUUAUGUUUUCAUCCCGCAGGGGUAUAUAUAAGACCUGCUAGGAGAGACUGAAUGCCCUAGGGGUCAUAAUCCCCAAAUAGAGCCCUGCCAGAAGGGUAGCGAGCCCCUCUAACAUCAACCUGAACCAAGGGGUCAUAAUCCCCUUGGACAGUCUCUACGAUUCGAAUGAUUAUAUUUACAUAAAUAACUGAGUCUAUGGGCCUGAAGUUGACCAUUGGGAACACUUCAACCCCACAUAUACACAGCAUGUG